rnacentral:lncRNA from 1 species
CUCUGCGGUGGGCGGGCAGGGUGCAGAGCUCUAUGCAGCAAGGCUUGGAGGGCAGACAGUGAUUGCAGGUGGAGAAGGCCAAACUGCACCCCACCCUACCCGCAGGGACGCAGAAUCUCAACGGUCAGAGCGUGUUCAGCGUGGCCCCCGUCAAGGGCGUCAUGGACCCCGGGAAGACACAGGACUUCACUGUCACCUUCAGCCCCAGUCUUCUACCCCAGAGCCAAGCAGGACAGCCACUGCUAACCAGAGUUCAGGAGUCCAGCUGCAGCCUCACCCCAUGCCUCAGCCUGACCCUGAACAGCUCCCCUGGCCACACCCCUCCAGCUGGCUCCCGGCCAGGCCCUCUCUCUCCAGAAGCUGAGGAGCUGAGGCCCAUCCUGGUGACCCUGGACUACAUCCAGUUUGACACAGACACGCCAGCCCCACCUGCCACCCGAGAGCUGCAGGUGGGCUGUAUCCGGACCACCC